CUUCACAAUGUGCGAAAGCACGAUGAGGGAAUCCCAAGUGCCAGCUCGUAAGAGUUGGCUGUUUUUCUGUCUAAAACACAGAGAGAGUAAGAGCUGGGUAAGACGGGUGCCAGCCGCCGCGGUAAUACCUGCAGCUCGAGUGGUGGCCGCUAUUAUUGGGCCUAAAACGUCCGUAGCCGGUUUAGUAAAUGCCUGGGUAAAUCGUGUAGCUUAACUAUACGAAUUCCGGGUAGACUGCUAAACUUGAGACCGGGAGAGGCUAGAGGUACUCCUGGGGUAGAGGUGAAAUUCUGUAAUCCUGGGGGGACCACCAGUGGCGAAGGCGUCUAGCUAGAACGGAUCUGACGGUGAGGGACGAAGCCCUGGGGCGCAAACCGGAUUAGAUACCCGGGUAGUCCAGGGUGUAAACGCUGCUUGCUUGAUGUUAGUCGGGCUCCGAGCCCGAUUAGUGUCGGAGAGAAGUUGUUAAGCAAGCUGCCUGGGAAGUACGGUUGCAAG
rnacentral:rRNA from 1 species